GGCUCAAUGGUCUAGUGGUAUGAUUGUCGCUUCGGGCACCGCCUACAGCUGCGAAAGCUGCGAGAAUGUGACAGGCCUCGGGUUCGAAUCCCGAUUGAGCCC